rnacentral:pre_miRNA from 1 species
AGGAGGAACAGCCCCAGUGGCGGGGCAGCUCUGGAGCCCUGGAGUCAGCCCCCGCAGGAACUCCGGAGCUCUCCGUCUGCAGGGCCUGGAGGCUCCGGGGCGGG